rnacentral:antisense_RNA from 1 species
CUUCACCGAGCCGAGCCACAACGGACGCCCCGGCUCACGCCCUUGACCGUAGGUGGCGAGCAGCGCCCCGGCCUC